rnacentral:rRNA from 1 species
CUGAUGUUAGCGGCGGACGGGUGAGUAACACGUGGGUAACCUGCCUGUAAGACUGGGAUAACUCCGGGAAACCGGGGCUAAUACCGGAUGGUUGUUUGAACCGCAUGGUUCAAACAUAAAAGGUGGCUUCGGCUACCACUUACAGAUGGACCCGCGGCGCAUUAGCUAGUUGGUGAGGUAACGGCUCACCAAGGCAACGAUGCGUAGCCGACCUGAGAGGGUGAUCGGCCACACUGGGACUGAGACACGGCCCAGACUCCUACGGGAGGCAGCAGUAGGGAAUCUUCCGCAAUGGACGAAAGUCUGACGGAGCAACGCCGCGUGAGUGAUGAAGGUUUUCGGAUCGUAAAGCUCUGUUGUUAGGGAAGAACAAGUACCGUUCGAAUAGGGCGGUACCUUGACGGUACCUAACCAGAAAGCCACGGCUAACUACGUGCCAGCAGCCGCGGUAAUACGUAGGUGGCAAGCGUUGUCCGGAAUUAUUGGGCGUAAAGGGCUCGCAGGCGGUUUCUUAAGUCUGAUGUGAAAGCCCCCGGCUCAACCGGGGAGGGUCAUUGGAAACUGGGGAACUUGAGUGCAGAAGAGGAGAGUGGAAUUCCACGUGUAGCGGUGAAAUGCGUAGAGAUGUGGAGGAACACCAGUGGCGAAGGCGACUCUCUGGUCUGUAACUG